AGAGUUUGAUCAUGGCUCAGGAUGAACGCUAGCGGCAGGCCUAAUACAUGCAAGUCGAACGGUAAAUAUUUAGCAAUAAAUAUGAGAGUGACGUACGGGUGCGUAACACGUAUGCAACCUACCCUUUACAGGCGGAUAGCUCGGGGAAACUCGAAUUAACCCGCCGUAAUAUAAUUGGAUGGCAUCAUCUGGUUAUUAAAUCUACGGAGGUAAAGGAUGGGCAUGCGUCUGAUUAGUUAGUUGGCGGGGUAACGGCCCACCAAGACGAUGAUCAGUAGGGGAACUGAGAGGUUGAUCCCCCACACUGGCACUGAGAUACGGGCCAGACUCCUACGGGAGGCAGCAGUAGGGAAUAUUGGUCAAUGGAUGGAAGUCUGAACCAGCCAUGCCGCGUGCAGGAAGAAGGCCUUCUGGGUUGUAAACUGCUUUUGCCAGGGGAUAAAAUGACCUUGCGAGGUUAAUUGAAGGUACCUGGUGAAUAAGCCACGGCUAACUACGUGCCAGCAGCCGCGGUAAUACGUAGGUGGCAAGCGUUGUCCGGAUUUAUUGGGUUUAAAGGGUGCGUAGGCGGCUUAUUAAGUCAGUGGUGAAAUACUCUAGCUCAACUAGAGGGGUGCCAUUGAUACUGAUGAGCUUGAGUACAGAUGAGGUAGGCGGAAUUGACGGUGUAGCGGUGAAAUGCUUAGAUAUCGUCAAGAACACCUAUAGCGAAGGCAGCUUACUAGGCUGUAACUGACGCUGAGGCACGAAAGUGUGGGGAUCAAACAGGAUUAGAUACCCUGGUAGUCCACACUGUAAACGUUGAUUACUCGCUGUGUGCGAUAUACAGUACGCGGCCAAGCGAAAGCGAUAAGUAAUCCACCUGGGGAGUACGCCGGCAAUGGUGAAACUCAAAGGAGUUGACGGGGGUCCGCACAAGCGGUGGAGCAUGUGGUUUAAUUCGAUGAUACGCGAGGAACCUUACCUGGACUAGAAUGCCCUUGACCGAUCCAGAGAUGGAUUUUUCCGCAAGGACAAGGAGCAAGGUGCUGCAUGGCCGUCGUCAGCUCGUGCCGUGAGGUGUCGGGUUAAGUCCCGCAACGAGCGCAACCCCUAUUUUUAGUUGCCAACAGGUUAAGCUGGGGACUCUAAAAAGACUGCCCGCGCAAGCGGAGAGGAAGGUGGGGACGACGUCAGGUCAUCAUGGCCCUUACGUCCAGGGCUACACACGUGCUACAAUGGCGUAUACAGAGUGUUGCAAACCAGCGAUGGUAAGCCAAUCACAAAAGUACGUCUCAGUUCGGAUUGCAGGCUGCAACUCGCCUGCAUGAAGUUGGAAUCGCUAGUAAUCGCGCAUCAGCAAUGGCGCGGUGAAUACGUUCCCGGACCUUGUACACACCGCCCGUCAAGCCAUGAGAGUCGGGAGGACCUGAAGGCAGUUGCUGUAAGGCGCUGUUUAGGGUUAAACCGAUGAUUAGGGCUAAGUCGUAACAAGGUA
rnacentral:rRNA from 1 species